rnacentral:rRNA from 1 species
AUUGAACGCUGGCGGCAGGCCUAACACAUGCAAGUCGAGCGGCAGCACGGGGAGCUUGCUCCCUGGUGGCGAGCGGCGGACAGGUGAGUAAUGCAUAGGAAUCUGCCCGGUAGUGGGGGAUAACGUGGGGAAACCCACGCUAAUACCGCAUACGUCCUACGGGAGAAAGCGGAGGAUCUUCGGACUUCGCGCUAUCGGAUGAGCCUAUGUCGGAUUAGCUAGUUGGUAAGGUAACGGCUUACCAAGGCGACGAUCCGUAGCUGGUCUGAGAGGAUGAUCAGCCACACUGGGACUGAGACACGGCCCAGACUCCUACGGGAGGCAGCAGUGGGGAAUAUUGGACAAUGGGCGAAAGCCUGAUCCAGCCAUGCCGCGUGUGUGAAGAAGGCUUUCGGGUUGUAAAGCACUUUCAGCGAGGAAGAAAGCCUCUGGGUUAAUACCCCAGAGGAAGGACAUCACUCGCAGAAGAAGCACCGGCUAACUCCGUGCCAGCAGCCGCGGUAAUACGGAGGGUGCGAGCGUUAAUCGGAAUUACUGGGCGUAAAGCGCGCGUAGGUGGCUUGGCACGCCGGUUGUGAAAGCCCCGGGCUCAACCUGGGAACGGCAUCCGGAACGGCCAGGCUAGAGUGCAGGAGAGGAAGGUAGAAUUCCCGGUGUAGCGGUGAAAUGCGUAGAGAUCGGGAGGAAUACCAGUGGCGAAGGCGGCCUUCUGGCCUGACACUGACACUGAGGUGCGAAAGCGUGGGUAGCAAACAGGAUUAGAUACCCUGGUAGUCCACGCCGUAAACGAUGUCGACUAGCCGUUGGGACCUUUAAGGACUUAGUGGCGCAGUUAACGCGAUAAGUCGACCGCCUGGGGAGUACGGCCGCAAGGUUAAAACUCAAAUGAAUUGACGG